CACGUAGGCACCAAGCGUUGUCCGGAUUUAUUGGGCGUAAAGAGCUCGUAGGCGGUUCGAUAAGUCGGGUGUGAAAACUUUGGGCUCAACCCAAAGCGUGCAUUCGAUACUGUUGUGACUAGAGUUCGGUAGGGGAGUGGGGAAUUCCCGGUGUAGCGGUGGAAUGCGUAGAGAUCGGGAAGAACAUCGGUGGCGAAGGCGGCCAGCUGGGCCAUUGCUGACGCUGAUGCGCGACAGCGUGGGGAGCAAACAGG
rnacentral:rRNA from 1 species